AUUGAACGCUGGCGGCGUGCUUAACACAUGCAAGUCGAUCGGUAACGCGGGGGCAACCCUGGCGACGAGAGGCGGACGGGUGAGGAACGCUUGGGAAUCUGCCUAUCAGCGGGGGACAACCCGGGGAAACUCGGACUAAUACCGCAUACGCUCUACGGAGGAAAGCCGGGGACCGCAAGGCCUGGCACUGAUAGAUGAGCCCAAGUCGGAUUAGCUAGUUGGCGGGGUAACGGCCCACCAAGGCGACGAUCCGUAGCUGGUCUGAGAGGACGAUCAGCCACACUGGGACUGAGACACGGCCCAGACUCCUACGGGAGGCAGCACUAGGGAAUAUUGGACAAUGGGGGAAACCCUGAUCCAGCGACGCCGCGUGGGUGAAGAAGGCCUGCGGGUUGUAAAGCCCUUUCGGUAGGGACGAAAGCUCUCGACCUAACACGUCGGGAGGUUGACUUAACCUACAAAAGAAGCACCGGCUAACUCUGUGCCAGCAGCCGCCGUAACAC
rnacentral:rRNA from 1 species